UGCGUCGCAGCCCCGGAACCAGGCGCCCGCCGGAGGGACCAACCAAACUCUUUCUGUAGUCCCCUCGCGGACGUUAUUUCUUACAGCUCUGAGCAAAAAUUCAAAAUGAAUCAAAACUUUCAACAACGGAUCUCUUGGUUCUGGCAUCGAUGAAGAACGCAGCGAAAUGCGAUAAGUAAUGUGAAUUGCAGAAUUCAGUGAAUCAUCGAAUCUUUGAACGCACAUUGCGCCCGCCAGUAUUCUGGCGGGCAUGCCUGUCCGAGCGUCAUUUCAACCCUCGAACCCCUCCGGGGGGUCGGCGUUGGGGAUCGGGAACCCCUAAGACGGGAUCCCGGCCCCGAAAUACAGUGGCGGUCUCGCCGCAGCCUCUCCUGCGCAGUAGUUUGCACAACUCGCACCGGGAGCGCGGCGCGUCCACGUCCGUAAAACA
rnacentral:rRNA from 1 species